rnacentral:rRNA from 1 species
AGGACGAACGCUGGCGGCGUGCUUAACACAUGCAAGUCGAGCGGUAAGGCCUUUCGGGGUACACGAGCGGCGAACGGGUGAGUAACACGUGGGUGAUCUGCCCUGCACUCUGGGAUAAGCCUGGGAAACUGGGUCUAAUACCGGAUAUGACCUGCUCUCGCAUGGGGGGUGGGUGGAAAGAUUUAUCGGUGCAGGGAUGGGCCCGCGGCCUAUCAGCUUGUUGGUGGGGUAAUGGCCUACCAAGGCGACGACGGGUAGCCGACCUGAGAGGGUGACCGGCCACACUGGGACUGAGACACGGCCCAGACUCCUACGGGAGCAGCAGUGGGAAUAUGCACAAUGGGCGAAAGCCUGAUGCAGCGACGCCGCGUGAGGAUGGAAGGCCGUUACGGGUUCGUAAACCUUC